GACGAACCACCCAAACGUUAUUCGGAAUCACUGGGCUUAAAGAGUGCGUAGGCGGUCAUGUAAGUAGGGUGUGAAAUCCCACAGCUCAACUGUGGAACUGCGCUCUAAACUACAUGACUAGAGGGAUAUAGAGGUGAGCAGAACUGAUGGUGGAGCGGUGAAAUGCGUUGAUAUCAUCAGGAAUACCGGAGGCGAAGGCGGCUCACUGGGUAUCUUCUGACGCUGAGGUACGAAAGCUAGGGGAGCGAACGGG
rnacentral:rRNA from 1 species